UGGGGGAUAUUGCACAAUGGGCGAAAGCCUGAUGCAGCGACGCCGCGUGGGGGAUGAAGGCCUCCGGGUUGUAAACUUCUUUUGCUCUGAACAAGGCAUGCUAAUGGGUGUGUUGAGUGUAGGGGUUGAUUAGCGCCGGCUAACUACGUGCCAGCAGCCGCGGUAAUACGUAGGGCGCGAGCGUUGUCCGGAAUUAUUGGGCGUAAAGGGCUUGUAGGUGGCUGGUUGCGUCUGUCGUGAAAGCUCAUGGCUUAACUGUGGGUUUGCGGUGGGUACGGGCUGGCUUGGGUGCAGUAGGGGAGGCUGGAAUUCCUGGUGUAGCGGUGGAAUGCGCAGAUAUCAGGAGGAAUACCGGUGGCGAAGGCGGGUCUCUGGGCUGUUACUGACACUGAGGAGCGAAAGCAUGGGGAGCGAACAGG
rnacentral:rRNA from 1 species